UAGGAAUCUUCCACAAUGGACGCAAGUCUGAUGGAGCAACGCCGCGUGAGUGAAGAAGGUUUUCGGACCGUAAAGCUCUGUUGUUGGUGAAGAAGGAUAGAGGCAGUAACUGGCCUUUAUUUGACGGUAAUCAACCAGAAAGUCACGGCUAACUACGUGCCAGCAGCCGCGGUAAAUACGUAGGUGGCAAGCGUUGUCCGGAUUUAUUGGGCGUAAAGCGAGCGCAGGCGGAAGAAUAAGUCUGAUGUGA
rnacentral:rRNA from 1 species